rnacentral:rRNA from 1 species
UACGGAGGGUGCGAGCGUUGUCCGGAAUCACUGGGCGUAAAGGGCGCGUAGGCGGUGGAGUAAGCGUGUGGUGAAAGUCCGGGGCUCAACCCCGGAUCGGCCGUGCGAACUGCUUCACUCGAGCACUGUAGAGGCAGGUGGAAUUCCGGGUGUAGCGGUGGAAUGCGUAGAGAUCCGGAAGAACACCGGUGGCGAAGGCGGCCUGCUGGGCAGUGGCUGACGCUGAGGCGCGACAGCGUGGGGAGCAAACAGG